rnacentral:sRNA from 1 species
UGACAGGGCGGGACCCGAAGCGGUGCA